CAAAAGGCCCUUUUAAGGGCCACCCACACAUUCUGAAAAUUUGUU
rfam:Salmo salar isolate Sally breed double haploid chromosome ssa04, whole genome shotgun sequence.